CGCACAUUGCGCCCUCUGGUAUUCCGGAGGGCAUGCCUGUUCGAGCGUCAUUUCAACCCUCAAGCCUGGCUUGGUGCUGGGGCACUGCCUUCUCCGGAGGGCAGGCCCUGAAAUACAGUGGCGAGCUCGCCAGGACUCCGAGCGCAGUAGUUAAACCCUCGCUCUGGAAGGCCUGGCGGUGCCCUGCCGUUAAACCCCAACUCCUGAAAAUUUGACCUCGGAUCAGGUAGGAAUACCCGCUGAACUUAA
rnacentral:misc_RNA from 1 species